AUUUGCUUUAAAUUUAAAAAAUUUGGCGGUAAUUUAGUCUAGUUAGAGGAACCUGUUUAUAUUGAUCGAUAUUCCACGUUUUAUCUUACUUAUUUUUAAUAGUUUGUAUACCAUCAUUAUCAGAUAAUUUUAUAUAAAAGUGAAUUAUUGGGAUUAAUAUUAGUUAAGAAAAUUAGAUCAUGGUGCAGCUUAUAAAUAAGUAUAAAUGGGUUACAAUAAAAUUUAUUUAACUACGGAGUGAUUUUGUAAUAAUAGUCAUAAAGGUGGAUUUGAUUGUAAUGUAAAUUUAAUAAGUUUAUGAGGUAUUAGCUCUAAAUUAUGUACACAUCGCC
rnacentral:rRNA from 2 species